rnacentral:rRNA from 1 species
CUACGGGAUGCAGCAGUGGGGAAUAUUGGACAAUGGGCGCAAGCCUGAUCCAGCCAUGCCGCGUGAGUGAUGACGGCCCUAGGGUUGUAAAGCUCUUUCAACGGUGAAGAUAAUGACGGUAACCGUAGAAGAAGCCCCGGCUAACUUCGUGCCAGGCAGCCGCGGUAAUACGAAGGGGGCUAGCGUUGUUCGGAAUAACUGGGCGUAAAGCGCACGUAGGCGGAUUGUUAAGUUAGAGGUGAAAUCCCAGGGCUCAACCCUGGAACUGCCUUUGAUACUGGCAAUCUUGAGUUCGAGAGAGGUGAGUGGAAUUCCGAGUGUAGAGGUGAAAUUCGUAGAUAUUCGGAGGAACACCAGUGGCGAAGGCGGCUCACUGGCUCGAUACUGACGCUGAGGUGCGAAAGCGUGGGGAGCAAACAGGAUUAGAUACCCCAGUAGUC